UACGGAAGGCAGCAGUGGGGAAUAUUGCACAAUGGGCGCAAGCCUGAUGCAGCCAUGCCGCGUGUAUGAAGAAGGCCUUCGGGUUGUAAAGUACUUUCAGUCGUGAGGAAGGUGUUAAGGUUAAUAACCUUAGCAAUUGACGUUAGCGACAGAAGAAGCACCGGCUAACUCCGUGCCAGCAGCCGCGGUAAUACGGAGGGUGCGAGCGUUAAUCGGAAUUACUGGGCGUAAAGGGCACGCAGGCGGUUAAUUAAGUUGGAUGUGAAAUCCCCGGGCUUAACCUGGGAAUGGCAUUCAAGACUGGUUAGCUAGAGUCUUGUAGAGGGGGUAGAAUUCCAUGUGUAGCGGUGGAAUGCGUAGAGAUGUGGAGGAAUACCGGUGGCGAAGGCGGCCCCUGGGACAAAGACUGACGCUCAUGUGCGAAAGCGUGGGGAGCAAACAGGAUUAGAUACC
rnacentral:rRNA from 1 species